GAGGACAACAUUUCACAUUUCUGGCAUUACUAACAACAACACUGAAAGAAAGAAUGAAUUUCUGGGAGUAGCAUUAGGAUUCAGGGCUCCUGCUGAGCUCACCAGUUCCUUGCUCUGCACAGCUGCCUUCUCAGUUGGGGGUUUUAAAUCAACACUGUGAGAAAAGGCAGAAAUGACCACGGUGCACUUUCCUCACUAUGAGAACAAGCUGAUAUGGACUUACUCCAUAGAGCAGAACUGAAUCUGCUUAGCUGUGCCAACAGAUUCAUCCAAGAUUUAUUGAAGACCCACCAUGUAUCAGGCAAUGCCUUAGGAUUUCUGAAGAUCUAAACACAGUGACCACCUGGCAGAAAUUCUAGGUGAAGAAACUUCAGAAGAGAGUAUCCCAAUUGUGCCCUGAAUGGUAUUGUUCCUGCAAGAUCUCCCUCCCUCUGACACAUCGAAGACUCAUCAGAUUGCUGUGUUCACACUCAAGACUUUCCCAGAUGACACAGGAAAUUACUCCACAAGUUGGUGUGCUACCCUACUGGACAUGAUUUGUCUCUCUGUCAGUGACUAGUACAUGCUGCUGUUUCCUCGCAAAGUCAAACUUUGAUGGAAAUAUUUGCAGGAUGGAGUGGGGCUACCAAAAAUCAGAAUUACAAGCAAAUCUGGAGAAGGUGAUAUUUGAAGUGAGUUUUUAGGGAUAGGUAAGCAUUAUGUAGGUAGAGAAAAAGCAGAAAUGAGGUCUGAGCAAAGAAAACAGCAUGAAGAAAAUGCUGAAGUUUCAAACAGUAUGGUGUUUCCAAGCAUACACAAGUAAAUAGGUACUGCUAGAGAGAGGAACACAUGAGGGGAGAGGGAAUGGUAGAAAUGAUGUUAAGCAAGUUUUUACAUGCAGGUUUCUCUGUUUAAGAGUUGUAGGAUAUGAUAGGGCUCCAGUCUAAAGUGUCUCAGUAUGUGAUCAUUUAAAUGUAUGGCCCAAAAGACACCAAACACCAAGUUUCUCAUUGGAACACUGGCCUUCAGAGAAUGUCCCAGCAUAAUAUCCUUCUUAUUUAGCACAAUUUUAUUGUAAUCUAUGCAAACAUUAUACAUCUUUACUUGGUUAAAUUUUUCUCCAUUUUGUUUUCAUGAAUCAAAUGUGUACCACAAAAGUUAACAUGAGCUAGUGCUUCAAUAUAUUUUAACAGGAUUAAUAAAUAUUCACAUAUCCAUUAGUUGUUGCUGGGUUAACAACUCCAAACACAGUGGCUUGAAACAAAAACAUCAACCAUUGUCACCCCUGAGUCUCUGGUAGGCUGGCCACCUUUGUGGAUCUUGGUCAGCUUGGGCCAAUAGAUGUGGCUCUGAUCCCAGUCGUGUUCUAUCAUAUUUGGGAUAAAACGGCUGUCAGUUGAUCUAGAAAGGCCUUGGCUUUUCCCACAUACUCUUUCAUCACUUACUAAGCUAGCCCGAGGUCUUGGAGAGGGAGAAAAUACAGUGAACCUCGAAAAUAGAAAGGAUGUGAGGGUGGGUAAAAGAGGGUGGGGGAUAGCAUCCCACCCCUGUGAGUGAAAAUCAGACUGUGCGUGGGAAAUCAGAAAUACAAGGAAAGAAGCCUAACUAAAGCAACUACUACCACAUAGGGAAGUGAACCUCAGUGGUGGGUGAUUCUGAUUCAAACUCCUGCCAUCUGAGAUUGGCUCCAGGCUGUGGAUUGGUUUCCAUCAGCUCUGUGUUGUUCAUUCUGGGGCUCAGGAUAAAGGGGCACCCACUGCUGGGAAAAGUUCUUGCAGCUGAUCACUGUGUUUAAGGUCGAAGAAUCCCACACUCUCUCUUAAAAUCUCUGCUCGCAUCCCAUUUUUCAUUGUCUGUUAGUCACAUGGCCAAACACAAUAUCAAUAGGGCAGAGACAUAUGCUCCACGUGCUUGUUUUAUAAACAAUGACCCAAGGUAUCAAAGAGUAUAUUUGGUCAAGUAGGCAGAGAUGCGGAUGUAGAUAGAAACCAAAUGAAAACAUCGUUUAGGCUGUGUAGUGAAAUUGAAACCAGAGUAUGUGUAGCGCAUGGCAUUUGCCAAGGUGACCACACUGAUGUCUCCCAUUCCACGUACUCUUGGAGAGACACCAUGUGACAGCGGCACGCCUCAUAUCAAGUGGCAAGGUCUGCAUCUCCUUCCCUUGAUUUUGGGCCAGGCUCAGUGACUGGUUCACCACAAGUAUACACUGAAAGUGACACUGUGUUAUUUCAAGCCUACAUCAUGAAAGGCUGUGCAGCUUCGGCUUACUUCUCUGGAACAAUCACAUUUGAGCCCUUAGGUGGCACCGUUCCCGGUACCACAAGGAGAAGCCUGACUGCAAACAGACGAAGUGAUGCCCCACUGGCUCCAGCUGCUUUCGUGCCAGGGCCCCAGCAGCAGCCUCCCUAUGAGUGCAGCCCCAGAGGACACUCCAUGCCAGAACCACCUCUUGGAUUCCCAACUUCCGGGAACCGUGAGAGAAUAAAAUGAGUGCUGUUUGAAA